AACCGAUCUCUGAAAGUAGCGGAU
rnacentral:siRNA from 1 species